rnacentral:rRNA from 1 species
UGGGGAAUAUUGGACAAUGGGGGCAACCCUGAUCCAGCCAUGCCGCGUGAGUGAUGAAGGCCUUAGGGUUGUAAAGCUCUUUCGCCCGCGAAGAUAAUGACGGUAGCGGGAGAAGAAGCCCCGGCUACCUUCGUGCCAGCAGCCGCGGUAAUACGCAGUGGGCUAGCGUUGUUCGGCAUCACUGUGCGUAAAGCGUACGUAGGCGGACGAAUAAGUCAGGGGUGAAAGCCUGGAGCUCAACUCCAGAAAGGCC